rnacentral:lncRNA from 1 species
AAGUAAGAAACAAUACAGAACAACCAUUGUUCUGUUUUAGUCACGACAAAAAAAAAAGGGGCUUAAAGCCUUAAAAGCCUAAAAUCAUACCAUUCAAACGAGAAUAGGCAGAACAAUCACGGCAAAAAGGAUAGAAAAGGCAACCAUACGAACGGCACCAAAAAGAAUUCUCCCGCAAACAGCGAAAAAUCACAGGGUUCUUCAUAACUCACUUAUUCUUGAAUUCGGGUAUGUAAAAUCCCCUAUUUUUAAUUACCCUAUAGUAAUAAUAGGUAAGAAUUGAAUAGCUAAUUCUCCUCUUUCUCUAUAUCAUCAAUAAAUUUCAUAAUUAGGUAUAGUACUUGAAAAUUAAUUAAAAUACACUGGUUGUUGUAGAAUCAAUUGUUUGACGGAUAUAAAUUGGACUGGAGUCUAUGUAUUGGCUCGAGAAGUUUUGAGGUGAGUUGAUAUAACUUUUUACUAAAGUGGUUUAACUCACAAAUGCACGCCUAUAAGGUGUUUGAUGAAUUGCUU